GAAUUCGCCCUUGUUUGAUCCUGGCUCAGGACGAACGCUGGCGGCGCGCCUAACACAUGCAAGUCGAACGAGCGAGAGAGAGCUUGCUUUCUCGAGCGAGUGGCGAACGGGUGAGUAACGCGUGAGGAACCUGCCUCAAAGAGGGGGACAACAGUUGGAAACGACUGCUAAUACCGCAUAAGCCCACGGGUCGGCAUCGACCAGAGGGAAAAGGAGCAAUCCGCUUUGAGAUAGCCUCGCGUCCGAUUAGCUAGUUGGUGAGGUAACGGCCCACCAAGGCAACGAUCGGUAGCCGGACUGAGAGGUUGAACGGCCACAUUGGGACUGAGACACGGCCCAGACUCCUACGGGAGGCAGCAGUGGGGAAUAUUGCACAAUGGGGGAAACCCUGAUGCAGCGACGCCGCGUGGAGGAAGAAGGUCUUCGGAUUGUAAACUCCUGUUGUUGAGGAAGAUAAUGACGGUACUCAACAAGGAAGUGACGGCUAACUACGUGCCAGCAGCCGCGGUAAAACGUAGGUCACAAGCGUUGUCCGGAAUUACUGGGUGUAAAGGGAGCGCAGGCGGGAAGACAAGUUGGAAGUGAAAUCCAUGGGCUCAACCCAUGAACUGCUUUCAAAACUGUUUUUCUUGAGUAGUGCAGAGGUAGGCGGAAUUCCCGGUGUAGCGGUGGAAUGCGUAGAUAUCGGGAGGAACACCAGUGGCGAAGGCGGCCUACUGGGCACCAACUGACGCUGAGGCUCGAAAGUGUGGGUAGCAAACAGGAUUAGAUACCCUGGUAGUCCACACCGUAAACGAUGAUUACUAGGUGUUGGAGGAUUGACCCCUUCAGUGCCGCAGUUAACACAAUAAGUAAUCCACCUGGGGAGUACGACCGCAAGGUUGAAACUCAAAGGAAUUGACGGGGGCCCGCACAAGCAGUGGAGUAUGUGGUUUAAUUCGACGCAACGCGAAGAACCUUACCAAGUCUUGACAUCCUGCGACGCACAUAGAAAUAUGUGUUUCCUUCGGGACGCAGAGACAGGUGGUGCAUGGUUGUCGUCAGCUCGUGUCGUGAGAUGUUGGGUUAAGUCCCGCAACGAGCGCAACCCUUAUGGUCAGUUACUACGCAAGAGGACUCUGGCCAGACUGCCGUUGACAAAACGGAGGAAGGUGGGGAUGACGUCAAAUCAUCAUGCCCUUUAUGACUUGGGCUACACACGUACUACAAUGGCGUUAAACAAAGAGAAGCAAGACCGCGAGGUGGAGCAAAACUCAGAAACAACGUCCCAGUUCGGACUGCAGGCUGCAACUCGCCUGCACGAAGUCGGAAUUGCUAGUAAUCGUGGAUCAGCAUGCCACGGUGAAUACGUUCUCGGGCCUUGCACUCACCGCCCGUCA
rnacentral:rRNA from 1 species